GUUCAUGUAGCUUAUAACACUAAAGCAAGGCACUGAAAAUGCCUAGAUGAGUUUUUGUAACUCCAUAAACA
rnacentral:tRNA from 1 species